UCUAGUUUUGCUAGCGAAUUACUGAGCAUUUCUGGACACUUUGAGCAUGGACUUUAAUGGAUUUCCUUCACUAAAACCUGUAAAUGUGAAUUCCAAGUCCUCUUCGAUUCGCGGUUGGAUUCAGAUCGACAAAGUGUGUGCUCAGAUGUCCGCAACCCACAAAAAGACUGCCAUAGCCGGGUCCCUCAGAAUAACACACAAUCUCCACAAUAAAGAAAACAGACCCCUCUCUUCGGAGAUGGAAAUGCCCAAACAGCCACCCGACAAGUGGAAAUGCCCUGAGAAAGACCCAAUCGAGGCGUCUGUACUGACCAAUAAACUGAUAUUGAUUGGACUUGAACAAGAAAGGAGGCUAUGCUCUCCCGAAUUGCUAGUCAAUCGUUCAUCUCCUCACAUCACUGACUUAAUGAGGGCAGAUAUGAUAGAAAUGCUUUCUGAGGUACUUCCAAGGAUUGUUUUGUAGAUUUGUUUGAAUCAUCGACUGGAGUGGGAUGUCUUUUUUUUGGCUCUCGACUUGUUAGACCGUUAUCUGUGCUCGGAUGGGUCCAGGAGUCUAAAGUAUCCCCAUCUUGAGUUGGUUGCCAUUUCCUGCUUGUUUAUUUCGGCCAAAUAUGAGGUUGGUUGGCCCUGUGAUCCCUGAGGGGACUGUCGUCUGUGACUCCCAAAGUUAUGCCAAAAUGGCAAGAAAAACGUUUUCUCCACAAGAAUUGGUCAGCAUGGAGUUACGAAUUCUCCGUAGUCUGAAAUGGAAUUUAUUUGUGCCGACUGGCUACUAUUGGCUCAAAAUGUUCCUCCAACUGCAUGUGGCGGGUUUUGAAGAAAUAGACAUGCCUCGUUAUUCUCGCUAUGACCUCAACAGAGGGGCAACUGUACUUUUAAGCUCUUAUUUGCAGCUUCUCCGCACUUUUCUCUGUCACUCCAACGCGUGCAAGUUUCCUCGGUCUCUUAUCGCCUCGGCCGUGUUUACACAAAUUAACGGGGUGUCCCCGAUUAUAAAGGAUAUCUGGGGGAGGGUUAUGAAGUUUAAGACGAGGGAUAUUCGCUAUUGUCUUUUUGACUUGACAAUGUCUACGAAAACUAGAAAAUAUGAUUCUGUCUCGGACAAGGACUGUGCCCUCGGCGAAUCUACCGAGCAUGUGAACUAUGGAAAUGAAAGGGUUUGACAUUUUUCUAAUUUUUAGAAAAGGUUUUGCUCUAAUUACUGACUUUUCUGGCUGUUGACUUAUUUUUUACA